AUGUACCACGCGUACACUCCGGUUCCUCCGCGCCGUCCGUGCCUACCUGACGACUGCUCGCUACGUUUUGUUAGCC
rnacentral:sRNA from 1 species